ACUGGUGAUGCCUGAAAGAGAAAGCUAGGGAAAUGUCGACUUCCUGUAUCCGUAGCCAAUCAUAUUAAGAGAAGAUGAAGGCGUCACAAAAAAACGUCCAAUCCUAACACAUAAAGUGGGCGUUUAUUAUGACAGCUGGAAGAGUUCUCUCCUCGCUAUAAGUGGAGUUUGAUCACAGAUGCGCUUGUGGCACCGAACUGUAAAAAGUGAAAGGGAUGAAUGAGAGGAGACCCUGAACAACUUCAUCGGGGACAUUUCUAGUAGCUUCUUGUCGACUAGAUGAAACACAGAUCGAGUCUUUGACUGCGAAGGCAUGGAACCAUCACCCGCCAACACCCCAACCACCCCGAAACCUGCCUCUUCCUCCCCGCUACCCUCCUCUCUUUCCCCACCUACCCCUAAAUCUACCCCGGGCACUAGACCCACUGUGCCCCUGCCUAAAUCGCCCCCGACCUCUCCGGUCUCACCUUCCAGACCUUUUUGUCCUGGCCCCCUUCUCUCUCCCCCUGCGUCCUCCCUCUCCAUCCCUCCUGCCUCCCCCCUGCGGCAGCCAGUCAGACCUGUCUCCCAGGCGGGACGAUCCCAGCUCAAUGCAGCCAGCAGGGCUCCGGAUGAGAGGAGGGGGGCUGGUGCUGCUGGAGUUACCCCGGGCAUGCACCCUACUACCCCUGUACGACAGCAUUCAAUAGCUGAGCCAGAGGAGCCAGAGGAGGAGCUGAGUGUGGAGGAGCUGGAGGAGAGCGCCAAGUCUGGAGACGCCAAAGCCCAGUCUAGGGUGGGCCGUUACUACUUGGCCCUGGCCGAGGAGAGCGAUGAGGAGCUGAACAACUGUACAGCGGUGAGCUGGCUGGUAGAGGCCACCAAACAGGGUCGUAAGGAUGCCGUCAAGAUGCUACAGCACUGCCUAUCAACCAGGAAAGGCAUCACGUCGGAGAACUUUGAGGAGGUGAAGAAGCUGUGUACGGAGACGAGGUUUGAGAGAGGAGUGAGGAGGGCUGCCCUGGUCAUGUAUUGGAAGCUCAACCCAGAGAAGAAGAGAAGGGUGGCGGUGUCUGAGCUGCUGGAGAACGUGGAACAUGUCAACACAGAACCAGGUGACGCUGCCUCCCAGAGCCCCAUAUCCAGCUCCAUGCAGAAACAGAGGAGAGUUCUGGAGAGUCUCGUCACCAGCAAAGUCAGUUGCUACGACGUGGGUCUGGAUGACUUUGUAGAUAUCACUAAGAAGUACGCUCAGGGCAUCCCACCUAGUCUCACUAUGGCUGGGGCCGGAGGUGACGAUGACGAUGAUGACGAAGUUGUGAAGAAUCCAGAUGACUUGCCCCUUCAUCAGAAGGUGUUGAAGUUUCCCUUACACACCCUGUUGGAGAUCAAGGAGCACCUGAUAGACUGGGCAUCCCGGGCGGGCAUGCAAUGGCUCAGCGCCCUCAUCCCCACUCACCACGUCAAUGCCCUCAUCUUCUUCUUCAUCAUCAGCAACCUCACCAUCGACUUCUUCAUCUUCCUCAUCCCCCUACUCGUCUUCUACCUCUCCUUCUUCUCCAUGGUCAUCUGCACACUGCGUGUCUUCCAGAACUCCAAGGCGUGGGAGAACUUCCGGGCACUGACAGACCUGCUGUCUCGCUUCGAGCCGGGCCUGGACCUGGAGCAAGCUGAGACUAAUUUUGUCUGGACCCACCUGGAGCCCUACCUCUACUUCCUGCUGUCGGUGGUCUUCGUGGUCUUCUCCUUCCCUGUGGCUGACAAGACCUGGAUCCCCUGCUCCGAACUGGCCACCGUGGCUCUGUUCUUCACCGUCACCUCAUUCCUCAGCCUCCAUGCCUCCGCUGAGCUCUUCGCCCGCCGCGCCCUGCUCACAGAGGUGUUAUCGGGGGUCUGUGCCCUGACACAACUGUUACCGGAGAGCGCCUGGUUCCUGCGGGUGUUAGGCACAACGUUUGUGACGGUGCCGCUAGGGGAGAUGGUGGCUCUGAAUGUGGGCGUGCCCUGUCUUCUCUACGGGCACCUGUUCUACCUGCUGUUCCGCAUGGCCCAGCUGAGAGGCUUCAGGGGCACCUACCUCUGCCUCGUACCCUACAUGGUCUGCUUCGUCUGGUGUGAGUUGUGCCUGGUCCUGCUCCACUCCUCCUCCACCAUCGGUCUGAUUCGGACCUGUGUGGGCUACCUCCUCUUCCUGUUCGCCCUGCCUGUUCUCACCUUGGGCUUGGCGGCCAUGUUGCUCUUCCAGGUCCUCCAGUGGUUCAUGGCUCUGGAGAUCACCAAGAUGCUGGUGACUCUGACCGUGUGCGCGGUCCCGGUGGUGUUGCGGUUGUGGACGCGGUUCAGCCUGAACCCGCUGGUGGUGGCAAGGUCUCUGUCGCGGAGCAGCAUAGUCAAGCUCAUCCUGGUGUGGUUGAGUGCUGUGGUGCUGUUCUGCUGGAUGUACGUCUACCGCUCCGAGGGCAUGAAGGUGUAUAACUCCACCCUCACGUGGCCGGAGUACAGUAACCUGUGUGGGCCGAAAGCCUGGAAGGAAUACAAUAUGGCCCAAACCCAGAUCCUGUGUUCUCACCUGGAGGGCCACCGGGUCACCUGGACAGGACGCUUCAAAUAUGUCCGCGUCACCAACAUCGAGAACGGAGUCCAGUCCGUCAUUGGCCUACUCCCUGUGUUUGUAGGGGACUGGAUGAGAUGUCUCUACGGUGAGGCCUAUCCACUCUGUGACAACACCACCGACCCCUCCACUCCCACUGUCCCUUCCCAGCCCCUACCUGCACCCCAGCCCCCUCCAGAAGACCCCUUAUGCAAACUGAAAAAGCUGGCGAAGCACGAGUGCCACGUGAAGCGCUUCGACCGCUACAAGUUCGAGGUGACCUUGGGCAUGCCCCUGGAGAGGAAGAGUAAGAACGGGACCAUUAUAGAGGACGAAGACGCCACCAAGGACAUCGUCCUGAGGGCCAGUAAUGAGUUUGGCCCCAUGUUGCUGCACCUGAGCGCUGGGAGCCUGGUAGAGUUCAGUACGGUUCUGGAGGGACGCCUGGGCUCUAAGUGGCCUGUGUUUGAGCUGAAGGCCAUUCACUGUCUGACGUGUGCAGAUGCCCGCGUGCCCAGCGGCAGGCAGUAUAAGAUAGAACAUGACUGGAGGCGCUCGGCCCAGGGGGCUCUGCAGUUUGGGUUCGACUUCUUCUUUAACCCCUUCCUCACUGCACAGCUGGAGCAGGACACUGAAACACUGGUGAGGGGUAGUGGUGGAUGAGUGUGGUGGAAGAGCAAUGGAUCAAUGCAGAGAAGUGAAUAAGUGUACACUUUGUGGAGUCUAUAAGUGUACACUAGGAGAAGUGAUUUCACUAAGGAUUGGGUUUGGACCUGUUCUGAUCCCACAGUUCCAGUCUGCAGGCCUCUAAUGAUGAUGUCACUGUUUGUAGGUUGUGACGUCACCACUGUAACCCUCUACGCUACUGUGACUAAUAAACCAAUCAUGGAAAUGGAAAUCUCUGCUUCCUGAAAGGUUAUUGCAAUCUCUCACUCCCUCUCUCUUUCCCUCGCGCGCACACACAGAGUCCGUAUACCUUAAUGAGCAUGAUCUUGUCAUUUAGUCUGGAUCUUAACACUCUCCAGGGCUAUGGACAGCUUGUCCAGCAGAAGAGGUCACACACACACACACACACACACACAAUGCUUGAUUCUGCGUCAUUAGUGUAUGUAAUGACAGUGUAUUAACACUAGGUGGUUCCCCAGGCUACAGCACAGAGAUUUGUUUUAGUGAUAUCAUGUAAUCCUUAGUGAUGUAUUUCAAAUCUAUUGAGCCAUAUGAAGACUGUUGGAUCUACAAAGUACACAGACAGCAGUUAAUACUUUAAGCACUAUACAUGAAUGAAAAGCGAUUUGAAUAGUGGUGAUAUUAGAAUUGAUUUGGCUGCAGUGGCCGUCGUUUAACAGACACACCACAGCCUAACCCUAACCCAUAGGAUGCAAUUUUGUUGAAAUCUUUAUUCAGGGGGGGGGGACAUAUUAACAUAUUUAUAAUUGUUCAUUUGACUUUCUCUUCUUGAAAAUACGUGAACAAAAAAAAAAAGAUGUGAAUCAAUGCCAGGGCAGCGGGACUUGGAAUCAAACACAAGUGAUGUUUCCAAAAAUAUAUAAAUGCAAUUGCUGGAGAGAAGAGUGCAAUAAUCUCUCUCACAUUGUCAUGGACAGCAUCAUUAUUACAGAUGAUUGGCUCUGGGACAUAAUGAUACGAAACAAACCGAUCAGCCCCUUUUUAAAGGUCUAGAUAACAACGCUGAUAAAACAAUCCCAAUUCCUCUGGUUCAGUUUCUU